AGUGAACGCUGGCGGUAGGCCUAACACAUGCAAGUCGAACGGCAGCACAGUAAGAGCUUGCUCUUACGGGUGGCGAGUGGCGGACGGGUGAGGAAUACAUCGGAAUCUACUUUUUCGUGGGGGAUAACGUAGGGAAACUUACGCUAAUACCGCAUACGACCUACGGGUGAAAGCAGGGGAUCUUCGGACCUUGCGCGAUUGAAUGAGCCGAUGUCGGAUUAGCUAGUUGGCGGGGUAAAGGCCCACCAAGGCGACGAUCCGUAGCUGGUCCGAGAGGAUGAGCAGCCACACUGGAACUGAGACACGGUCCAGACUCCUACGGGAGGCAGCAGUGGGGAAUAUUGGACAAUGGGCGCAAGCCUGAUCCAGCCAUACCGCGUGGGUGAAGAAGGCCUUCGGGUUGUAAAGCCCUUUUGUUGGGAAAGAAAAGCAGCAGGUUAAUACCCCGCUGUUCUGACGGUACCCAAAGAAUAAGCACCGGCUAACUUCGUG
rnacentral:rRNA from 1 species